rnacentral:rRNA from 1 species
CCUACGGGAGGCAGCAGUGGGGAAUAUUGGACAAUGGGGGGAACCCUGAUCCAGCGAUGCCGUGUGUGUGAAGAAGGCCUGAGGGUUGUAAAGCACUUUUAGUGGGGAGGAGGUGUAUUUGGUUAAGAGCUGAGUAGACGGACGUUACCCACAGAAAAAGCACCGGCUAACUCCGUGCCAGCAGCCGCGGUAAUACGGAGGGUGCGAGCGUUAAUCGGAAUGACUGGGCGUAAAGGGUGAGUAGGUGGUUAAAUAAGUUAUAGGUGAAAUCAUAGGGCUCAACCUUGUGUGGAAUUAUAAUACUGUUUAACUAGAGUAUAGGAGAGGGUAGUGGAAUUUCCGGUGUAGCGGUGAAAUGCGUAGAGAUCGGAAGGAACACCAGUUGCGAAGGCGGCUACCUGGCCAUAUACUGACACUGAGUCACGAAGGCGUGGGUAGCAAACAGGAUUAGAUACCCUGGUAGUCCACGCUGUAAACGAUGUCAACUAGCUGUAUUUCACGUAGAGGUGGGGUGUGGNGAGACAACGACGAUAAGUUAGACCGCCGUGGGAGGUACGGUCGCGAAGAAUUAAACUACAAUAGAAGUUAGACGGCGUGAGACGUGCCGAACGGACGACGACGAGGGAGGUAGG